GAUGAAGAACGUAGCGAAAUGCGAUACGUAAUGUGAAUUGCAAAUUCAGUGAAUCAUCGAGUCUUUGAACGCACAUUGCGCCCCCUGGUAUUCCGGGGGGCAUGCCUGUCCGAGCGUCAUUGCUGCCCUCAAGCACGGCUUGGGUGUUGGGCCCCGUCCUCCGAUCCCGGGGGCCGGGCCCGAAAGGCAGCGGCGGCACCGCGUCCGGUCCUCGAGCGUAUGGGGCUUUGUCACCCGCUCUGUAGGCCCGGCCGGCGCUUGCCGAUCAACCCAAAUUUUUAUCCAGGUUGACCUCGGAUCAGGUAGGAAUACCCGCUGAACUUAAGCAUAUCAAUAAGCGGAGGA
rnacentral:misc_RNA from 1 species